GUAAUGUCUGGGAAACUGCCUGAUGGAGGGGGAUAACUACUGGAAACGGUGGCUAAUACCGCAUAACGUCGCAAGACCAAAGAGGGGGACCUUCGGGCCUCUUGCCAUCAGAUGUGCCCAGAUGGGAUUAGCUUGUUGGUGAGGUAACGGCUCACCAAGGCGACGAUCCCUAGCUGGUCUGAGAGGAUGACCAGCCACACUGGAACUGAGACACGGUCCAGACUCCUACGGGAGGCAGCAGUGGGGAAUAUUGCACAAUGGGCGCAAGCCUGAUGCAGCCAUGCCGCGUGUAUGAAGAAGGCCUUCGGGUUGUAAAGUACUUUCAGCGGGGAGGAAGGUGUUGUGGUUAAUAACCACAGCAAUUGACGUUACCCGCAGAAGAAGCACCGGCUAACUCCGUGCCAGCAGCCGCGGUAAUACGGAGGGUGCAAGCGUUAAUCGGAAUUACUGGGCGUAAAGCGCACGCAGGCGGUCUGUCAAGUCGGAUGUGAAAUCCCCGGGCUCAACCUGGGAACUGCAUUCGAAACUGGCAGGCUUGAGUCUUGUAGAGGGGGGUAGAAUUCCAGGUGUAGCGGUGAAAUGCGUAGAGAUCUGGAGGAAUACCGGUGGCGAAGGCGGCCCCCUGGACAAAGACUGACGCUCAGGUGCGAAAGCGUGGGGAGCAAACAGGAUUAGAUACCCUGGUAGUCCACGCCGUAAACGAUGUCUACUUGGAGGUUGUGCCCUUGAGGCGUGGCUUCCGGAGCUAACGCGUUAAGUAGACCGCCUGGGGAGUACGGCCGCAAGGUUAAAACUCAAAUGAAUUGACGGGGGCCCGCACAAGCGGUGGAGCAUGUGGUUUAAUUCGAUGCAACGCGAAGAACCUUACCUGGUCUUGACAUCCACAGAACUUUCCAGAGAUGGAUUGGUGCCUUCGGGAACUGUGAGACAGGUGCUGCAUGGCUGUCGUCAGCUCGUGUUGUGAAAUGUUGGGUUAAGUCCCGCAACGAGCGCAACCCUUAUCCUUUGUUGCCAGCGGUUAGGCCGGGAACUCAAAGGAGACUGCCAGUGAUAAACUGGAGGAAGGUGGGGAUGACGUCAAGUCAUCAUGGCCCUUACGACCAGGGCUACACACGUGCUACAAUGGCGCAUACAAAGAGAAGCGACCUCGCGAGAGCAAGCGGACCUCAUAAAGUGCGUCGUAGUCCGGAUUGGAGUCUGCAACUCGACUCCAUGAAGUCGGAAUCGCUAGUAAUCGUGGAUCAGAAUGCCACGGUGAAUACGUUCCCGGGCCUUGUACACACCGCCCGUCACACCAUGGGAGUGGGUUGCAAAAGAAGUAGGUAGCUUAACCUUCGGGAGGGCGCUUACCACUUUGUGAUUCAUGACUGGGGUGAAGUCGUAACAAGGUAACCGUAGGGGAACCUGC
rnacentral:rRNA from 2 species